rnacentral:rRNA from 1 species
CAACGCCGCGUGGGGGAUGAAGCUUCUCGGAGUGUAAACCCCUUUCGACCCGGAAGAAAUGCCCGCAAGGGUUUGACGGUACGGGUAUAAGAAAGCCCCCGGCUAAACUACGUGC